rnacentral:rRNA from 1 species
CAUGCCGUAAACGAUGAGUGCUACGUGUUCGGGGGUUUCCGCCCUUUAGUGCUGCAGCUAACGCAUUAAGCACUCCGCCUGGGGAGUACGACCGCAAGGUUGAAACUCAAAGGAAUUGACGGGGGCCCGCACAAGCGGUGGAGCAUGUGGUUUAAUUCGAAGCAACGCGAAGAACCUUACCAGGUCUUGACAUCCCGAUGACCGCUCUAGAGAUAGAGUUUUCCCUUCGGGGACAUUGGUGACAGGUGG